rfam:Marchantia polymorpha subsp. polymorpha scaffold2175, whole genome shotgun sequence.
UCUGGGCGGAGUAGCGACCGCCUGUAACCCGAGCGGGAGAUGGAGACUGUGGAGCAGGGUUUCUCUGCUGGUACCGGCUGCGGCAUGUCGAUGGCGUGUCCACCCGAAGCGUGGGGUCACCGGCUGGGGCCUCUCCGGAAGGGGAGGCACCGGUGGUGAUAGUGUAGAGGGCAACGCGUGAGGCGGGGAACCGAGCAACGACAACUUCUCGCCCUGUGCAGUCGGGGGAUCGCAUGCCUGAAUGUCCGUUCACCGGGAGUCCCAGUAGAUUCCAGCUCUGCCACCAGUCUCU